rnacentral:rRNA from 1 species
GUGGGGAAUAUUCCGCAAUGGACGAAAGUCUGACGGAGCAACGCCGCGUGAGUGAUGAAGGUUUUCGGACUGUAAAGCUCUGUUGUUUAGGACGAAAGUGCCUGUUGCGAACAGUUACAGGUAUUGACGGUACUAAACGAGGAAGCCACGGCUAACUACGUGCCAGCAGCCGCGGUAAUACGUAGGUGGCAAGCGUUGUCCGGAAUUAUUGGGCGUAAAGAGCAUGUAGGCGGAGUUUUAAGUCUGUUGUGAAAAUGCGGGGCUCAACCCCGUAUUGCGAUGGAAACUGAAUGUCUUGAGUGCAGGAGAGGAAAGGGGAAUUCCCAGUGUAGCGGUGAAAUGCGUAGAUAUUGGGAGGAACACCAGUGGCGAAGGCGCCUUUCUGGACUGUGUCUGACGCUGAGAUGUGAAAGCCAGGGUAGCGAACGGGAUUAGAAACCCCGGUAGUCC